CCUACGGGCGGCUGCAGUGGGGAAUAUUGGACAAUGGGCGAAAGCCUGAUCCAGCCAUGCCGCGUGUGUGAAGAAGGCCUUCGGGUUGUAAAGCACUUUCAGUGGGGAAGAAAGCCUUGGGGCUAAUACCCUCGAGGAAGGACAUCACCCACAGAAGAAGCACCGGCUAACUCCGUGCCAGCAGCCGCGGUAAUACGGAGGGUGCGAGCGUUAAUCGGAAUUACUGGGCGUAAAGCGCGCGUAGGCGGUCUGAUAAGCCGGUUGUGAAAGCCCCGGGAUCAACCUGGGAACGGCAUCCGGAACUGUCAGGCUAGAGUGCAGGAGAGGAAGGUAGAAUUCCCGGUGUAGCGGUGAAAUGCGUAGAGAGCGGGAGGAAUACCAGUGGCGAAGGCGGUCUUCUGGACUGACACUGACGCUGAGGUGCGAAAGCGUGGGUAGCAAACAGGAUUAGAUACCCGGGUAGUC
rnacentral:rRNA from 1 species